UCAAUAAUCACUCACUCCACCGGCUCAACCCGCCAGGCGCCCUGAACACCCCCGUUCUUUCGAUGGACCAGUGCCUUCAGGCGUUCAAGCAGCUGAUUGGUCGGAGGAAAUCAGAGUCACAAAACAGUAGGUCCCACCCAGCAGAGCGAGGAAGGCCUGUCCCCUGGGCCACUAAUGCCCCAGACCUGGAAACCCGCAGUGCAGAGGGCAACAGGCUGGCUGUAAUCGGGCGGUCUCACGUCCCGUCCAUGGGUGUCUAUGGCGCAUGUACGACAGAGAGGCAGAGGACGCGGCCACCGCUCCGUGGAUGUGUGAAAAGUGAUGCAUUCACCCGCUGGGUUUCGGAAGGAUCUCCUCCAUCAAGGCAGACAGACGGGCGCAGCACGGGAGAAGCCGGAGGCUGGUCCCAUCGUCCAAAACAGCAGAGGGUCCAAACUAACACAGUGACUACCGGGAGUGACCCAAGGAGGCAGACAAGAAGAUGGGGUCUUGGGGCUGGAUGAUGCACGCCCAGGCUGGCAUGGAGGACCCCAUCUCCAGGGACGUGUGGACGCAGGACUAGCUCAAGUCUUAAGAGAUCUGAAGAACCUGGGCGUCCCAUGGAACACCACCCUGGUCCAUUACAUUGAUGACACCAUGCUGAUCAGACAAACGGAUGAUCAAAACAGAUCAAAAAGGAUGAACAAAACGGGAGUGCCCACCAGAGAGCGUCCGCCGUGGAAGAGGUGGCCAGCAACCAGCUAGACAAAACGACUGAGCCAGUUGGCUCUAGCCAGCCUUCAUCAUCGGCCACCUCAAAACCGGCACAGUGGGUAAUGGAAUGGAGUGGCGGAGGAUGUUCGUGGACCCAUCUGCCUGGACUCCCACUGACCAUGGCCGGUCUCGUCGUGGCCACCUCUGAAUGUCCAACCCGCGUCAACAGAGCUCAGCACUAAGCGUAGGGAUGGACACUCUUCCUUGAGGAGACCAACAGGACGCAGUGGCAAGGGGACUAUUUUGAACCCUUCUGUCCUCAAAGGGUCGGCUACUCAUCCUCUCUCUGGGCUUCAGGGUCCCAUUUUCUGUCACAGACCAGUCCUUACUCAGCUCAGACAGAUCUAUUUUUUUUAAUGUUUAUUUAUUUA